rfam:Hordeum patagonicum subsp. santacrucense clone HSAN017 5S ribosomal RNA gene, complete sequence.
CAUGCCGAUCAUACCAGCACUAAAGCACCGGAUCCCAUCAGAACUCCGAAGUUAAGCGUGCUUGGGCGAGAGUAGUACUAGGAUCGAUCCCAUCAAAACUCCGAAGUUAAGCGUGC